AGGGUUGUGGUUCAGUGGUAGAACAUCUGUUUUGCAUGCAGAAGGUCCCAGGUUCAAUCCCCAGCAUCUCCA